AUGCAGAUUGCUGGACUCAACACCCUCGGCAUCUCAAUUGCACGCAUCGACUAUGCUCCCUUGGGUCAGAACCCACCACAUACGCACCCUCGCGCCACUGAGAUCCUCACGGUGCUCGAGGGGACAUUGUAUGUUGGCUUUGUCACAUCCAACCAGCCCGCCCCCAACAGAAACAAGUUCUUCUCCAAGGUGCUCAACAAAGGUGAUGUGUUUGUCUUCCCCGUGGGGCUCAUCCACUUCCAAUUCAACCCCAACCCCCACCAGCCCGCUGUUGCAAUUGCCGCGCUUAGCAGCCAGAACCCAGGGGCUAUCACAAUUGCCAAUGCAGUGUUUGGGUCAGACCCACCAAUUUCAGAUGAUGUUCUUGCCAAGGCAUUUCAGGUGGAAAAGAAUACAAUAGACUAUCUCCAGGCUCAAUUUUGGGAGAACAACCACAACUAA
rnacentral:rRNA from 1 species